rnacentral:lncRNA from 1 species
GCCUCUUGUUUUUGUUUUCUUUUUUUUUUUGAAGGUGCCAACUAUGGUCUUGUUUCGCAAUCUUUUUUGAUUCAACUAGUGUAAUACUUUCAUUUGUAUUUGACAAUUAUUGUUCAGCCAUGGACUAACUAAGAGCAGUGGCGUAGCCAGAGGGUGGUAGCAGGGGCCAUGGCACCCCCAGUGGUCUAAAAAUUUCUUAAACAACCCUGCUUCAGCCAUCAUAGUAAUAGGUAUUUGAAAGGAAAGAAAUUCUUGAACCAAGCCUUACCCUCAUCUUGCCCUCCCUAGUUUUUUGUCUGGCUCCGCCUCUGACUAAGAGCAUCUCCGAAUUGGCUAAAAUUACUAGUCAAAUUCUAUUGUUUAGUCAUUUUGUAAAAUAGAAAACUUUUUAAAAAAUAAGAGAUCCACAACAGCCAUACUAUUUUUUUUCUCGAAUACGCAAGAGAAUUGCGUAUCAUUGCAUUGAGAAGGAAACAAUUUGAGUACAAAAAGACCGGCUUAGCCGGGGAUCUUGAGGCUACAUUCUAAAGUAACUAUCAACUGCAAAAAGAUGGAGUUCAGGCUCUUAACGAUCAGCUAGCACCCUUAACCCCAGUGCCCCUGCAUCGAUCCAGCGAUCUGCCUCCAUUUUGUUGAGUUGCAGCAGCUCAGCAACCGGCGCCGUCGCAUCUCUGAAGCAUCUUGCGUUCCUUUCCUUCCAUAUCUGCCACGACACCAAGGCAAACAGAGAGUCCAGCCUCUUCCAUUGCGUACCUUCAGCAAGCUUCCGCAGCCUGCGCCACCAACUUAGUGUUGUCCGAGCCUGCAGUGGCAUCUGGAGGCCAAGCGCCUGCAGCCAUACUAUUUUACAAAAUGAGAUGACUAGUGUCAGUGGUUGACUAUAUAUGGCCACCAAAAAUCAAAGGAUAGCCAAUUUUCUAUUUUAUAAAACCAGAUAGCAUAUCUGUUGGAGUCUACUUUUUUGUUAUGC